GGGAAGUGAUGAUUGGGUUUAAUCUCGCAUUAAAUGCUUGAUGAGCGUUCCGCUCAAACCUUUUUACGACAAUUGGGCGCUCCAAUUUCGAUUUAUCUGAUCCC